UCUUAAUCUAGUCUCAUUCUAGUCUUAAUCUAGAUUCAUUAGCCUAUAAUGAGACUAGAUUAAGACUAGAAUGAGACUAGAUUAA
rnacentral:pre_miRNA from 1 species